rnacentral:rRNA from 1 species
UACAGAGGUCCCAAGCGUUGUUCGGAUUCAUUGGGCGUAAAGGGUGCGUAGGUGGCGCCAUAAGUCAGGUGUGAAAUCUCGGGGCUCAACCUCGAAACUGCACUUGAUACUGUGGUGCUUGAGUACUGGAGAGGAGAUUGGAAUUUACGGUGUAGCAGUGAAAUGCGUAGAUAUCGUAAGGAAGGCCAGUGGCGAAGGCGAAUCUCUGGACAGUUACUGACACUGAGGCACGAAGGCCAGGGGAGCAAACGGG